UCGAGAAUAUUCGACAAUGGGCGAAAGCCUGAUCGAGCGACGCCGCGUGCAGGAAGAAGGUUUUCGGAUUGUAAACUGCUUUUCUCUCCGAGAAACGCAAGUGAUUGUAGGAGAGGAAUAAGAGGUUGGUAACUACGUGCCAGCACCCGCGGUAAUACGUAGACCUCAAGCGUUAUCCGGAUUUAUUGGGCGUAAAGGGCGCACAGGUGGUUUGGUUAGUCAGUUGUUAAAUACCGCCGCUCAACGGCGGAACCGCAACUGAAACGGCCAGACUAGAGGAAUGGAGAGGGAGUAGGAACUCACGGUGUAGGGGUGAAAUCCGUUGAUAUCGUGGGGAACACCAAAGGCGAAGGCAAGCUCCUGGCCAUUUCCUGACACUCAAUGCGCGAAAGCGUGGGGA
rnacentral:rRNA from 1 species